GUGGGGAAUAUUGCACAAUGGGGGAAACCCUGAUGCAGCGACGCCGCGUGAGUUAAGAAGUAUUUCGGUACGUAAAGCUCUAUCAGCAAGGAAGAAAAUGACGGUACUUGACUAAGAAGCCCCGGCUAACUACGUGCCAGCAGCCGCGGUAAUACGUAGGGGGCAAGCGUUAUCCGGAUUUACUGGGUGUAAAGGGAGCGUAGACGGUAUGGUAAGUCAGAUGUGAAAGCCCGGGGCUCAACCCCGGGACUGCAUUUGAAACUAUCAGACUAGAGUGCAGGAGAGGUAAGUGGAAUUCCUAGUGUAGCGGUGAAAUGCGUAGAUAUUAGGAGGAACACCAGUGGCGAAGGCGGCUUACUGGACUGUAACUGACGUUGAGGCUCGAAAGCGUGGGGAGCAAACAGGAUUAGAAACCCGUGUAGUCC
rnacentral:rRNA from 1 species